AGUGACCAAUUUGGAAAGGACAAAGGAAUGAACACUGAAUUUUAGGAGGAACUCAGAAGAGCAGAGAAGCCCACCUUAAUGAGAUAUUCAGAUACAUCCACUUAUGUUAAUCAUAAAAUCAAACAAAAGGGAAGGUGCUGUUUGCUUGUCUACCAUUUUGAGAAGCCUCUCAAAAUCUUGACUUUUUUUAAAGUUGCUUUAGCUCGAGAGAUUUAUAAACCAUGCCAUUUAGCUGUGCUUCCUUACCAAGUUCCAUUGUAAUACCAACAGGAAACAGAAUAAAUUGUUUCCAAGUAACA
rnacentral:lncRNA from 1 species